CUUCUCCGCGGCGCUCCGCUGUGCUCGGACCUGCUGCUUCCUCCCAGGAGAAAAACCAAACCAAACGAGUCCCGACGGCCGGCCCGGGGCGACUUGGGUGCUGCUGCCAGCCCCCAGCAGUGGAGCAGGUAACCUCCCUUCGCAACCCCUCCUGCGCUUGGAUUUCGUUGUCUUUUUCCCCCGUGAAAAGCGCUCAGAAGUGGCUCCAACUCAGCGCCGGCAAGAGCCAGGGGCUGUGUCCGAAACCAAGCCCGUCGGUUUGGUUACUUUGCAUCUUGGUGAGACCGCCUAGGUAAGAAAAUCCUGGGAAAAGGGUUUUUUCUUUUCUCCAGGAGAAAGGGAAAUGGUCUGCAGAGCUCAGGGCUGCCCAGAGUGUGGGCGAAGGACGCAGGACAAGGAUGGCACUUUGGAGAUGGACAGGGAAAAUACAGGUUUCUUUAUCACUGCAGACAGUAUGAAGCCGAAGGAAGACACCAGUUUCAGAAUUCCCUACUGGAAUUCUGGAACCUACUGGGUUUCAGGAAAACCUCUUCAGUUCUCCAGGGCGAGUUGGCUGGGCAGAACUGCAGCCUCUCAUCCUCAGUGUAUGCCGCUACCAGGGCUGAGGGGCUGCUUGAGCAGCACCAAAAACCUGUGAGCUUCCACACUGUGCUCACCCAUUGCUCCUGAGAGUCACCUCCAAGCCAAAUGCCUGCCCAAGGAGCCCCUGGCCCAGAGCAGGGAAGGAAGCCACUGCUUAAGGGUGGACUGGAGAAGCCAGGGGAACUUUUAUAACAGCUCCCAGCCUUAGGCAGAGCCAUGUGUCCAUGUCCUGGGGACACAGAUGGAAAAGUACCAUGAAUGCAGUGGCAGAUCCCUUCAUACAUCCUGCUGGAGUAAAACGAAGUCUUUAACUUAGCAACUUGCAUGAAAGUAUUCACAAGAGCAGAGCACAGUGAAAGUUUUGUUCCUCAGAGGCAAGCAGGUGAGCUUGACUGGGUCCUAUCAUUCUCCUACCUUCCUUUUUUGAACUAAAAAGCCAUCCAGCCUUUUGGAGAAGAGUGUUUGCUAGUGGUUUUUAAUUCACUGUCCAGGUUAUCUCCCACCAUGGUUCAUUCCCCUUCUUGUGCCUGCGUGUGGUUUUGUUUGUGCUUUAUUUUUCCUGCAGAUGUUUGUGGCUCUUCUUCCACUCUCCAAGGCUCAGGCAGGGAAUCGUGAGUCCAGUUCUGAUCUGACACAGACCGGUGCUGUUUCAGCUAAUUUACUCAGUUUCCACUCUGCCAAAUGAGGAUAACAGGAAUAUUGGUGCUGGCUGGAGGACAGAGAGCAGGUGAAAAAGGGUGAAGGGUGCAUUUCUCCAGACACAGAUCUUCAGGGAGGAAAGCAAAUGAAAGGCAUGGCCGGGACCAUUCAUUCACCUUAUGAGAGCCAAGGGAAAAAGAAUGGAAAAUUCAUACUUCUCCUGAGGUGCACAUUUAAAUUAAGCAAGUAUCUGAAUGGAGGUGGUUAAUUUCAGCCAGAGGAUCUGACAUUUCCACUCGCUGGAGAGGGCAGAUAUCAAAGAAGGGAGUCACUAAAGAUCACUCCAGACUGCACAAAGAAAAUUACCCACCAACGGAAGAUGGAAACUUUCAGCAUUGUCAACAUUAGCUGGGUGCUCUUUGGCCCAGACAGAUUAUUAAAAAGUGGAAGACAAUAAUGAAAGUGGCUACCAAACAAACGUGAUCCGGACCUCUCUUUAAAAUGAGGUGAUGAGAAGGAAAUAAAUCAUUUACUACGCAGCACCAAGGAGAGCCACAUAAGAGCUCAGCACAUUUCCAUGGAGUCAUGAUGGCUUGGGAGUGUGUGAGAAAUCAUCUCCUGGGACACUUCCCUCAAGGGGUGCCACUCUCAGGGGAGGAACAUCUGAUGGAAGAGAGCAAACAGCAGACCUGGAGGAUCCACUGUGUGGCUUGUGACCACAGCACACGUCCAGGAGUGGGGCCACCAUGCUGCUCAGGACCAGCAGCCACACAAAAACCAGCCCAGGACACCAGGCAACAGCUGGCGUCAAAGGAGCCACGAAAUAAACACCCUUCCUGAGCUAUUCCACUUCUUCAAGAUGCAGGAAACUGAUAACCAAAGCAAAUAAAUUCUUCCUGAGAACUAA